rnacentral:rRNA from 1 species
ACACUGACGUCGCGAUGCAUAUCAAUAAGCGGAGGAAAAGAAACUAACAAGGAUUCCCUUAGUAACGGCGAGUGAAGCGGGAAGAGCUCAAAUUUGAAAUCUUCAAGGUUCUACCUUGACGAAUUGUAGUUUAAAGAAGUGUUUUCUGUUAGUGGAGUGGCAAAAGUUCUUUGGAAUAGGACAUCAUAGAGGGUGAGAAUCCCGUAUUUGGUCAUUCCUUCUAGCUUUGUGAUACACUUUCAAAGAGUCGGAUUGUUUGGGAAUGCAGUCCAAAAUGGGUGGUAAAUUUCAUCUAAAGCUAAAUAUUGGCGAGAGACCGAUAGCGAACAAGUACCGUGAGGGAAAGAUGAAAAGAACUUUGAAAAGAGAGUUAAACAGUACGUGAAAUUGUCAAAAGGGAAGCGUUUGACACCAGUGUUGUUUUUCCGAAAAUCAAUUAUAGAUGUUUUGUUUCUGAGGAGUGAUGACUUCAUCGGCUUCCUUCUCUCUUCACGAAACUUUUGUAAUGCACUUUUCGGUUAACAAGUCAACAUCAAUUUCUUUUGUUGUAAAAGAGUAUUCGGAAGGUGGCUUUCUUUUCGGAGAAAGUGUUUAUAGCCCUAUACUUCUACAAUCGGAGAGAUUGAGGUCUGCAGCGUAGAUCCUUCGGGGUUAGAUACAUUUGUGCUAAGUUAUAGCUUUUCAUAGACAACUUGUUGACUAUGUUUAGUCAUGUCGGCUUACUCGCUUAUGCUAUUUUACCUACGCUUAGGAUGUUGAGUCGUAGAGCACGCAG